rnacentral:rRNA from 1 species
UACAGAGGUCUCAAGCGUUGUUCGGAUUCAUUGGGCGUAAAGGGUGCGUAGGUGGCGCGCUAAGUCAGGUGUGAAAUUUCGGAGCUUAACUCCGAAGCUGCAUUUGAUACUGGCGUGCUUGAGGACUGGAGAGGAGACUGGAAUUCAUGGUGUAGCAGUGAAAUGCGUAGAGAUCAUGAGGAAGACCAGUGGCGAAGGCGGGUCUCUGGGCCGUAACUGACGCUGAGGAGCGAAAGCAUGGGGAGCGAACAGG